rnacentral:rRNA from 1 species
GACGAACGCUGGCGGCGUGCUUAACACAUGCAAGUCGAGCGGUAAGGCCCUUUCGGGGGUACACGAGCGGCGAACGGGUGAGUAACACGUGGGUGACCUGCCCUCAGCUCUGGGAUAAGCCUGGGAAACUGGGUCUAAUACUGGAUAUGACUCCACGGUGCAUGUCGUGGGGUGGAAAGCCUUGUGCGGCUGAGGAUGGGCCCGCGGCCUAUCAGCUUGUUGGUGGGGGAUGGCCUACCAAGGCGACGACGGGUAGCCGGCCUGAGAGGGCGGACCGGCCACACUGGGACUGAGACACGGCCCAGACUCCUACGGGAGGCAGCAGUGGGGAAUCUUGCGCAAUGGGCGAAAGCCUGACGCAGCGACGCCGCGUGAGGGAUGACGGCCU